rnacentral:antisense_RNA from 1 species
CUUGAUCGAGCCGAGCAGCAGGGGGUGCGUGCGGUCCUGGCCGUAGGUGGCCAGGAUGCUCUGCGCCUC